GCAAGCUAUUUAAGCUUAGUUUGGUAGAAUUGAUCUCAUCACGUUUUCUAUACCAUGCUCAGAGUUGCGAGAGGGAAGGCAUGUCCUGGACAAGUUGCAGGGCACAUAUAGAGAACAGCCAUUCACACUCACAUAAACACUUAUGGACACUCAACCCAUCUUACAAGUUUUUUGCAAUGUGAAGAAAAUAGGAGUACCUGGGGAGAACAUGCAAACUCCGCACGGGAAGGCUGGAACCCAGAUUCAAAACCACGGUCUUUGAGCUCUGUGGCAAAUGUGCUUACCAUUUCCUCCGUGCAGCUUGUAGAAUUUCUGUUUGUAAUUUUAAUCACAUUUAACACGCAUUGACUCUACAGUAUAUACUGUAUAUGUGAUUCAUUGCUAGUUUGCCUCCCUCAGGUAAGAGGUCCGCAAGGUCCAUACUGAAGUCGUGUGUUUUUUUUUUAAGUCCUCAGACUAAGGUUUGAAUUAUAUGUGAAUGUCAGACAGAUAAGGACCAAAUAAAUACAGUGGGGUCAUACAUAAUUUAGCCAAUAUGACCAGGACUCUGCACUAUUGUAUUGUGUGAUGACACACACUGACUUGCCUAUGUUUGUCUCAACCUCAACUUUGCGGAGCACAGGUGUAAAGUGUCUUGUAAAAGUACUCCGUUGCAAAAGUUAAAGUUAUAGCGACUUCUUACAAAUAAAAUCAAAUGUUCAGCUGUCACUCCAAUUGUCUGCAAAUGUCAUAUUUCAAUUAGCACAGGACAAUAUUUAUGCAAUAUGAAUUCUAAUAAUAAUAAUUGUAAUCUCUUUGCAUAAGUAUACAUACAAUGCAUACAUAAUUUUCUGUUAGAGAAAGAAAAAAAACGACAAUGGUCACUGAAGUCAUUUUUUACUGUUGUGUCUGGAAUUUUCCAAAAUGCAUAGUGACAAACCAACCACAAAUAUUUUAUGAGAAUGUCCUUUGGACACAUGACAAAAAAAGAUCUAUUUACAAAUGCAAAAGUCAUGCUGGCAAAGAAAAUGGCACUGUGCAUACAGUGCUUAUUGUGAAACACUGAGUAAACCUGGCCAUGUCUUAACUGUGUUGCUGUGUCCAACACAUGGUGGAAUGAAAGUGUGCAGAGUACAAUGAAACCCCAAAUCUGUCAAGACAUUUGGGAUGGUCUGACCAGUGUCAGAGAGCUUGGUCUCAAUCACAGGUUAUGUCUCCUCCAAGAGCAUAAUGACUCAAACCACAACGCUAAAAAUACCCAAGAGUGGCUAAGAACUCAAUGUUGCACUAUUCUGAAGUGGCCUUUUAUGAACCCUAAGCUACUAUAAAUAUACAGUAUUUAAAAGGAGUUGAAAAAUGAAGUGAAGUCUGUAAUCUGCACAUAUUUAGUCAUGCUGUAUAACCUCCCAUGCCCACAGCGUAGCUUGGCGUCCUUGUAACCAUCAUCUCCUAGAAUUGGAAUACUCUUGAAUUAUUCCUCUCUUCUUAGUUAGGUUUGAUGGUUAAGGUGUUAUUCCUCUCUGUUAGUUGUGUUUGUUCAGACACUUGGAAAAAAACCAAUGUAGAAUGCUGUUGAAGGUAUUUCCUGCUCACUGUGUUUACAAUCACCUUUAGUGCCCCUCGACCCCACCACUUUUAGGGCCCACCUCCACAGGACAUGUUUAACAUCAAAAGAGGAACUGUUAUCUCAUGUAUCUGUGUUCCUGCAAUGACACCAAAUGGUGGAUAGUGGUGGUCUGGUCUCACCUCACCACUCCCAACUUCUUCCAGCCACACCGGGAGCCCGAAUCGAUUCGUAAACUGCAGAAAAAUAAAGUAAACCCUUCGAAGGAACUGUU